UUUUUUUUUCAAAGAAAAUUUCCAUUUGUAUCCAUUUUAUAGUUCUGCCUGAAAAUAAUAGGCAACUAUGUAUUAUACUUGAUCAGUUUAUCAUGUUUCUCGUUUUUUUAGGCUCGUAAAUAUCCUAGUUUACCAUGUUUGAUGUAGUGAUUUGAAUUAUGAUAACAAUCUUGAUCAAGUAUUUCUAUUUUCCUUGUCUGCUAGAUAACCAGUUAUGUGCGUCAAGCAUGUAAAGCCUUUCUUUGUUAUACCUUCCUUGAGAUCUCUUCGGGUCUUUUUGCCACUUGGAUAUAGUAAUAAAACAAUUUGAUGUUUGAAUAAGUUGAAUCAAUAGCUAAAACAGUGUUUCCUUCCAUUCUUAUGUCACCUCUGGGAUAUAAAAUGUGUUCUUGCCUACACAAACACACUUGCGCAUAUGCAUGCGCACAAGCACACGUCUAGACUGGUUAGUACAUGUCCAGUGCUGACAUUAAAGAUUAAAAAAAAGUUCUGAUUAGGUUACUGCCUUCAAGAAAGAAAUAAUAAAUAUACUAAUGCUGUCAUUGGAUUUUUAUUUUUCAGGCUGCUAAGGCUUUAGACGAAAAG
rnacentral:misc_RNA from 1 species